CGUAGGCGUCGCCCAAGGAUGAGGCCGCGACCGAUCAGGUUGUUGGUGAGGUAAUGGCUCACCAAGCUUUUUACCGGUGCGGGCCGUGAGAGCGGGAGCCCGGAGAUGGGCACUGAGACAAGGGCCCAGGCCCUACGGGGCGCAGCAGUCGCGAAAACUUUGCAAUACACGAAAGUGUGACAGGGCUAUCCCGAGUGCCAUCCGCUGAGGAAGGCUUUUACCCAGUCUAGAACGCUGGGGGAAUAAGGAGAGGGCAAGUCUGGUGUCAGCCGCCGCGGUAAUACCAGCUCUCCGAGUGGUGUGGAUGUUUAUUGGGCCUAAAGCAUCCGUAGCUGGCUAAGUUAGUCCCUUGUUAAAUCCACCGAAUUAAUCGUUGGAUUGCGGGGGAUACUGCUUGGCUAGGGGACGAGAGAGGCAGACGGUAUUUCCGGGGUAGGGGUGAAAUCCUAUAAUCCCGGGAAGACCACCAGUGGCGAAGGCUGUCUGCUAGAACGCGCCCGACGGUGAGGGAUGAAAGCUGGGGGAGCGAACCGGAUUAGAUACCCGGGUAGUCCCAGCUGUAAACGAUGCAGGCUAGGUGUUUGGACGGCCACGUGCCGUUCUAGUGCCGCAGGGAAGCUGUUAAGCCUGCCGCCUGGGGAGUACGAUCGCAAGAUUGAAACUUAAAGGAAUUGGCGGGGGAGCACA
rnacentral:rRNA from 1 species